UGGGGAAUCUUGCACAAUGGGCGAAAGCCUGAUGCAGCGACGCCGCGUGCGGGAUGAAGGCCUUCGGGUUGUAAACCGCUUUCAGCAGGGACGAGGCCGCAAGGUGACGGUACCUGCAGAAGAAGCCCCGGCUAACUACGUGCCAGCAGCCGCGGUAAUACGUAGGGUGCAAGCGUUAUCCGGAAUUAUUGGGCGUAAAGAGCUCGUAGGCGGUUUGUCGCGUCUGGUGUGAAAGUCCAUCGCUUAACGGUGGAUCUGCGCCGGGUACGGGCAGGCUGGAGUGCAGUAGGGGAGACUGGAAUUCCCGGUGUAACGGUGGAAUGUGUAGAUAUCGGGAAGAACACCAAUGGCGAAGGCAGGUCUCUGGGCUGUUACUGACGCUGAGGAGCGAAAGCGUGGGGAGCGAACAGGAUUAGAUACCCUGGUAGUCCACGCCGUAAACGGUGGAUGCUGGAUGUGGGGCCCAUUCCACGGGUUCCGUGUCGGAGCUAACGCGUUAAGCAUCCCGCCUGGGGAGUACGGCCGCAAGGCUA
rnacentral:rRNA from 1 species